rnacentral:rRNA from 1 species
UACGUAGGGGGCAAGCGUUGUCCGGAAUCAUUGGGCGUAAAGAGCGUGUAGGCGGCCCGGUAAGUCCGCUGUGAAAGUCCAGGGCUCAACCCUGGGAUGCCGGUGGAUACUGUCGGGCUCGAGUCCGGAAGAGGAGUGUGGAAUUCCUGGUGUAGCGGUGAAAUGCGCAGAUAUCAGGAGGAACACCAAUGGCGAAGGCAGCACUCUGGGACGUGACUGACGCUGAGACGCGAAAGCGUGGGGAGCGAACCGG